CUUGUGUGGGGAUAGAAAAAGAGCAUUUUUGCAGGAGGGAGCAUAAUCUGGAUACACUACACAGUUAAGAGAAAUAAAGAGAAAUUAUCUCUGGAACACUCUUGAGUGAAAGUUGAGAAAUGUAUUCCUCAGGUGACGUAUGAUAGUUUGAAUAAAAAUAUUUAAAGAGUCGGGAUUAUGUUGAAAAAAAAUAUUGUUACAGUACAGACAACACAGGAUACGGCAAAGGUAUCUAUGCUAUAAGAAGAAUAAAAACAACUACUGACAAAAGAGAUAUGAGUGUUCCAUCACAGUAUUCUAACAGUGACAUGUCUUUCUAGCGUACCCCCCAGCAGAUCGUGGGAGGGAUCCCAAAGGAGGAGAUUCUCGUUUCAGAAGAAAGCUGGCUACAUCAGUAAGAUCAUUGGUAAAUGGCACCUGGGGCACAGGCUGCAGUACCUCCCCCUGCAGCACGGCUUUGACAAGUGGUUCGGUUCUCCAAACUGUCACUUUGGCCCCUACAGCAGCAAAGAGGAAACCCCAAACAUCCCAGUGUACAACAACUCCGAAAUGGUGGGAAGGUGAGCUACCAGCUGGGGAGUGUGAUGGACCUGUUCACCACCAGCCUGUCUCUAGCUGGACUGCAGCCUCCAACUGACAGGGAACUUGAUGGCCUGGACCUGACCCACGUCCUUCUGGAGAACCGCAUCAUUGAGCGGGGAUCGAUUUCUGUCCCGGGCAGCGCAUACCUGUAGUAACAAGCCACAAGCAAGAAGAACACACCCAGCAGCCAAUCAUCUUCCACUUAGGACGGGACCUGGGGGAGAAAUACCCAAUUAGUGUCAGCAGUGCUGAGUACCAGGCUGUGCUGAAGCAGAUCUCCCCAGCGGUGGAGAAGCACAGGAAGGAGCUGGUUCCAGGAAUGCCACAGCUCAACAUGUGUGACCUGGCAGUAAUGGUAAGAACAUUAAGAUUGAGUCUUCCAGAAAGAGCGUAAAACAAAUGGUUGCACUUAUCAAACCUCCCAAGUGAAAAUAUUUGAUCAGGAACUGACUGGGCUGAACAUAAUGAAUGUAAUGUCUAAUAUCAGGCAGUUUGUGUUCAUUUUUAUUUUGUUUGUACAUUGUAUGGUCGCAUUCAAUACAUACUGUACUCUGUAGUACUGUAUAGUACAAACAUAAUUUUGAUCAAUCGCGAAUGGUAGACAAGAAUUUCUACUGUAUUGAACUUGAAGUAUAGAAACAAUUGCCCUUGCUCAGAUAAAUGCAUUUUAUUACAGCGUAACACUGCCCCCAAGUGUCUCUUUAUUUUAAAACCCUUCCAAAGUGAUGGCGAAGGGACAUUCAUCCUAGUAAAAACAAGGUUCUUGAAACCGAUUAUGUCAUGCAUAAAGACCAUGUAAACUUUGUGUUUAAAGUGGUUUUAAACUUUCAUCAAUGACUGCUUUCACAAAAUAUGGCAUGUUUGUGUUCUGUAACUUUCUUUCUCUCGCUUUAUGCAUAUAACUCUGUAAACCAGCUUGUAAAAUAGUGGUAGAAACAAAGUUUAUACACAGUGGCACAGUGAGAAUUGUUUCUUUAUAUUUAUGAACCAAGGUGUAUGAUAUUUUGCCUGUAAAAGCUAUGAUCUUCAAGAUUUUCUACCUGGUGUACUGUAAGCAUUUUUUGUAUUCUUAUGUACAAUACUAGAAUGACAACUGAAUGGAUUUUUAAUUUUUGAUUUGUAUAUCUUAUAUAUUUUUUUAUAGCUGGAUAAUUACCGUAUCAACUUCUAACAUAAAAAAGCAGCAUGUUCUCCUUGUCCAGAGAUCAUUGACAUUUGGUAAAUUACUGUUUCAUAUUUUAGCAUAAUAAAUAAUUCAGUGUGCCCCCUACAUUGUCUACUAAUUCCUAAUAUUUGUGCGUUUCGUCAAAAUCUUCCAGAAGUUUCAAAAUCAUACUUGUUACAGCUAAUUUGAUACUUUCUGUACAUGUUUUGUGUGAAAUGUAUUUAAUAUGUGUACAUGUUCAUUAGGCAACUAAAACGUUUUUCACCAACCCACUGCUUUCUGGACUUCAUCACUCAAUGGCUGGCACUGUCUUGGCAUUGUGGCAAAAGGUGCUUGGGUUUGUUUCAUAGUUUUUGAACAAUUUAUACAAGCUGUGAAUAAAGACUAUACGUUCUGAAACGUCUGCAAUAUGUCAAUAUGUUAUGUACUGUGUUUACUUGUGUAUUGUUUCCCCAAAUGUUAUCCAUUUACUAACUGACAGUAUUUUUUUUUUUUUAAUUGUACAGUAAUGUUUGUAAUCCCACUGAACCAUGCUAUGUAAUAGGCGUCUACAGUAAUAUGUUGUAUCAUUUUAUGUGUUUGCCA